rnacentral:misc_RNA from 1 species
AAGUCGUAACAAGGUUUCCGUAGGUGAACCUGCGGAAGGAUCAUUAUUGAAUGAACUUGACUUGGUUGCUGCUGGUCUUUUCGAAGGCAUGUGCACACUUUGUCAUCUUUAUAUCUCCACCUGUGCACCUUUUGUAGACCUGAAACCAAAUUUCCGAGGCAACUCGGUCGUGAAGAAAUGCUUAACAGCUUUCCUUGUUGGGUUCCAGGGCUAUGUUUUCAUAUACACCAUAAGAAUGUAACAGAAUGUCAUUAUUAGGCUUAGUUGCCUUAUAAACUAUAUACAACUUUCAGCAACGGAUCUCUUGGCUCUC